UUUAUUUAUUGUAGUUACUAUAGUUUAUUUUAUUUUAUUUUAUUAAGGUUUACGAGCUGUGGGAGGGACGAGGGCUGGCGACGUGCUGUGGGACACGAUGCAGGGGCCGAGGAGGGAAUUUAGGGUUAAGUUUUUAUACGGGAACGGUUAGAGGGGCUUUAGCGGGCUUUCACCGGGCUUGUGGGGUUUUAGCAGGUCAUCGAUGAGAGUUUCCAAAAAUGUCAUUAGAAAUCCGUCAUGGAUUAACAGGUUUCUUGUAGUGACAUGUCGAGCACAAUGAGUGGUGAUCCUCCGGCCUCCCACUCGCACGCAGCCGCCGCCAGCCUCCCGCUCGCUCGCCGCCGCCGUUGUCACCAGUCCCGGCCAUGGCGCCUCCGCUGCCGUCGUGCCCCUGAAGACCUAUUCAUCUUGCCUGAAGGUGAUCCUGUGUCAGAUCCUCCACUUAACCCGCGUGGACCGGCUCGUGGGUCACUGACAGUGGGUCCCUUGGGCCCACUGGUCAGGUUUGACCAGUCGCCCUCGCCUCCUUCCUCCUCUGGCUGAACAGAGGCAGGGCUCCGGCGAUCAACGCCGGCGAACGACGGCUCCUCGCGGGGUCCUGAGGGCGGGGAUGGAUCCGCCAGGCCGGGGCGGUCCUCCCGAUGGUCAAGGAGGUGGCGGGGAUGGAGGGAGUCGCCGGCGGCGAGCUCCGCGGCGGACGGCAGCUUCGGGAGGUUUGGGGCUUUGGCCUACGGUGGUUCCCUGACGCAGCUGAGGGUUUGGGCGGCUCCGCACGGUCGAGGGGAGGAGGAUGGUGGUGCUAUACGGACGGGGGGGCUCUGGUUGCGACUGAAUGGACCGGAGGGCGGCGGCGGCUGUACUGGCCGGAGAUGGGGAAGAAGACCCUCCCUGGUCGAUUGCCUGCUAUGGGGGUGCUAGGUGGGGUGGCUUGAGGUCGCCUGAGGGACUGGACGGACUCGGGGGCUCCUUAUAUAGGCGGCCGGAGUCGGUUCCAACGGCGGCCGUGGAUAAGAACGGCGAACCACCGUUCUCUAGCCUGCAGGACGUCGUGGCGGCGACGGGCACUAGUGGACGAGCUCGCGGAUAAGCUUGGACUGCUCCAGAGGCGAGCUGGCGAGCGGCUGUGUCUCGGGCGGCGCCGUCCAUGGCAGGGGCCUGCUGUGGCCGGCCGUCGUGCCCCUGAAGACCUAUUCAUCUUGCCUGAAGGUGAUCCUGUGUCAGAUCCUGCACGAUACCUCAUCACUACAACAAGUCAGCGGCGGUGUAUGAGGCGUCCAUGGCCCUGGUGGCGCCUUCAAGGGAGGACGCAUGAUCUUCAAGGGAGGACAGGCCAUCAGAUUCAUCCACUUGGUAGCGUCUUUGUUCAUCCAGGUUUGACGAUUCAUCUUUUCAUUAUCUAGUCUCUCAGGGAUGUCAAACGUACCCUCAACAACUAACGUCAGCAUUUAUUUUGUUCUGUAGUGAACCCCCUCGAUGAAUGCAUGUCUGUUGCCGUGGCUAGAGAAAAUUCUACAUAUCCAAAUCCUGAUAACCAACAAGAUAAGUAGCAGCUUUGAUAUGGAGGUAUUUUCCUUCACUGCGUGCUUUUUCUUUGUGCCCUUUACUGUACUGUAGUAGCAUUUGCUAAAUUGCAUUGAGAGAAUAGGACGGCACAACAAGCUAGGGCUUCAAGAAAACCAACCAAAUUCCUUUUUUUUGGGAUCAACCAACCAAAUUGCUGUAAUAGCACGAUCCGCAAGACCUAGAAGGGAUCUACACAUGACAUCGGUGGCUUCUCCUCCACCUGCUAUUUGCCGCUUUGACACUGUUGACAGAUCCGAGUUCCACCUGCUAGGCUCGAAUGGUAGAUGUUACGGGCAACUGUAUGUGAAUCCCACUCCAAGGGAUCGCCCUUCUCUAUCCCAGAUAUGGCGGUUAUGGAGUUGAUGGCUCGUGUUUUUUUUUCUCAUUUGCUUUAUUUGUUUUGUUUUGUUUCUACUUACAACAAAAAACUUAUUUAUUUUAUUUCUAAUUACUUAUGUAUUUUACUUUAAUUAUUUUAUUUUUAUUUAUUUUACUGCUGCUAUUUUCAUUUAUUUUACUGCUGCUAUUUUUACUUAAUUUAUUAAGGUUUAUUUAUUGUAGUUACUAUAGUUUAUUUUAUUUUAUUAAGGUUUAUUUAGUUUUAUUUAUUUUAUUAAGGUUUAUUUAUUUUAUAAAUAUAAAAAAAUGAACAUAGAUGCGCUUAUAGAGAAAAUUCAACCUAAAUUCAUAAUAAAUUAAUUUACUAUGAAUUUAGGUCAAAUUCCCUGUAUAAGGGCAUCUAUUUUCACUUUAAGAGAAGCUCAACAAGGCAUAGAGGGACGGGCUUAUAAACUGGUGUGAGCGCCCUUCGGUUGGCGAGGUGGGACUAAACACUGG
rnacentral:lncRNA from 1 species